GCUGUGCACGCACUUCAGGGGCAACCUGGCUUGUGCUCUCGGCCGUUGGCUGAUGCUGUCUCUCAUUAACUGAGGGCCUACUACGUGCUGGGCCCUGGGCUAAAAGUGCCAUACGUAUACUGCCCUGUUUAAUCUUCAUAAACAAGAUUUUGAAAGCACUAUUAUUAUCCCCAGUUUACAGAGAGAGAAGCAAAAGCCGAGAAAGAUGAAGCCAUUUAGCCAAGUGGUGGACAUGGAGGAUUCAAAGUCCAGUCGGCCAGAUCUCAAAGGAUGUGGGAUGGGCUGGUUGUACAGAGUGGGAAGAAGGCCCAAGGAAUGUGGGUCGAGUGAAUGAAUGGGGUGUGUGUGCGAAGAGAAAUGGGUUUAGAGCCUUGGGUUGAAGGAGGGAGGGGGAGAAGGAUGGAGUCCUUAAAAUUGUAGCCCACUCAAUUCAACAAAUUUAUUGGGCGCCCCAGAUGCCCCAAGCACUGUCCCAGAGCACGGUGCAUGCGGUGUUGAACAAGACCGAGGCUCUGCCUCAAGAGGCUUACACUCCAGUGGGAGGAACAGAAAGUGAACAAGCAGACACACAAACAAGGUCAUUUCACACGGUGGUAAGUGUCGGGAUGAAAAUAAAAGUGUGGCAGGGAGGAGACAAGUUUUGUGGGUCUGGAGGGGUGCACGGAGAAGGGGACUGGAGGCAUGACCACCCCUUCCUCCCUAGGGGGACUGCCUACCCGCCUGCCCGCCCCCACAGACGCUCAUGGUUCAGUGCCCCCCAGGCCCCCGCCUGCCCCAGCAUCCCCUGCGCGGCCAAGCUGGGUGCCCCGGGGAGUCUGGCCGCCAUGCCACCUCCUCUCCUUCUCUUCUUCCUCCUCUUCCUCACACCCGAGGGAGUCAGGCCCCACGAAACACUGCUGGUGGAGGCUAAAGAGGGAGGCAAAGUUGAGCUGCCAUGCCUCAGAGGUCCCUCAGAUGGUCGUCCUGAGCAGCAGGCCUGGUUUCAGAGGUCUCAGUCAGAGCUGGGCCACAGGUCCCAAGGCCUGGGCAUCCAGAAGGGGUCCCUGGGCGUCCAGCUGUUCGUCUUCAACGUCUCUGACCAGAUGGGGGGCUUCUACCUGUGCCAGCUGGGGCCCCCUUCCGAGCAGGCGUGGCAGUCUGGCUGGACAGUCAGCGUGGAAGGCAGUGGGGAGCUGUUCCGGUGGAAUGCUUCGGCCCUAAAUGACUCAGGCUGUGGGCUGGGGAACAGGUCCUCACAGGGCUCCAAGCCCUCUUCUGGUUACCCCACAAGCUCCCGGCUGUAUGUUUGGGCCAAAGACCACCCUGAGAUCUGGGAGAUAGACCCUGAAUGUGCCCCACCCAGGGGCAGUCUGAACCAGAGCCUCAACCAAGACCUCACCGUGGCCCCUGGCUCCACAUUCUGGCUGCCCUGUGAGGUGCCCCCUGCCUCCGUGGCCAGAGGCCCCAUCUCCUGGACCCACGUGCGCCCUAAGAAGCAUAACAUCUCCUUGCUGAGCUUAAACCUGAGGGAGGAUGACCCAGGCAGAGAGAUGUGGGUCCUGGGCACCCUCAGGGGAGGGGCUGUUCUGUUGCUGUCCCAGGCCACAGUUCGAGAUGCUGGCAUCUAUCGUUGUUACCACGGCAACGUGACCAUCAAGAUGCAGCUGAAGGUCAUUGCCCAGUCAGUAAGGUAUUGGCUGCUAGAGGCUGGUGGCUGGAAAGUCCCUGUUGUGCCAUUACUUUAUCUGAUCUUCUGCCUGGGUUCCCUGGUGAGCUUUCUUCAUCUUCGAAGAGCCCUGAUCCUCAGGAGGAAAAGAAAGCGAAUGACCGAUCCCACCAGAAGGUUCUUCAAAGUCACGCCCCCCCCGGGAAACGGGACCCAGAAUCAGUAUGGGAACGUGCUCUCCCUUCCCACGCCCUCCUCCGGCACGGGACGCGCCCUGAGGUGGGCUGCAGGCCUGGGGGCCGCCGUGCAGUCUUACGGAAGCCCGCGCAGCGACGUCCCGGAGCCCGGAGCCGCGGGAUCCCGGAGCCCGCCGCCGGCAGGCCCAGAAGAAGAAGGGGAGGCCUAUGAGGAGCCAGACGGUGAGGAGGGCUCCGAGUUCUACGAGAAUGACUCCAACCUUGGGCAGGACCAACUCUCCCAGGAUGGCAGCGGCUAUGAGAACCCUGAGAAUGGGGCCUUGGGUCCUGAGGAUGAAGACUCCUUCUCCAGCGGUAAUUUGGGGUCCUUGUGGGGCCUCAGAGGCUUGGGAGGACCCAGACGGCCGUGGAGCCCCUACAGGGCAGGAAUGGCCCCUGGAGUUCUCUGUUUUCCUGCAGCAGCAGAGUCUUACGAGAAUGAGGAUGAAGAGCUGGCCCAGCCAGUCACCAGGACAGUAGACUUCCUGAGCCCCCAUGGGUCAGCCUGGGACCCCAGCAGGGAAGCAAUCUCUCUUGAUUCCCUCUGUGUCUUAGGCUGCACUUCCGUUCCCCAAGUCCAGCGUGGCUCUAGGCCUCCAACUCUCCUGCCCAAGCAGGCUCCCAGUCGUACGAGGAUAUGAGAGGGAUCCUGUAUGCAGCCCCCCAGCUCCGCUCCAUCCGGGCCCAGCCUGGUCCCAACCAUGAGGAAGAUGCAGACUCCUAUGAGAACAUGGAUAUGGAUAAUCCCAAUGGGCCAGAACCAGCAUGGGGAAGAGGAGGCCACAUGGGCACCUGGAGCACUAGAUGAUUCCCUUCAG